rnacentral:rRNA from 1 species
GCUGUCGUUGGGCCGGCUGCGGUGGGAAUAAGGGGGGGGCGGGGGUGGGCCGGGAUCACCGUGGGUUAGGUGCGCGGAGGCGGCUUUGCAAGCGUGGGGUGAAAGCUCGGGGCUGAACUCGGGGUCUGCCGUGCGAACUGUGAGGCUUGAGUCUGGUAGAGGUCGAUGGAAGUCCGGGUGUAGCGGUGGAAUGCGUAGAGAUCCGGAAGAACACCGGUGGCGAAGGCGGUAGACUGGGCCAGUACUGACGCUGAGGCGCGACAGCGUGGGGAGCAAACAGGAUUAGAUACCCGGGUAGUC